GUCAAACCUAAGCUUUAUUGAGCUGUCUUUAUUCUAUAAAACACAGGCGUAUUUAGUACGCGUGUACGUACGAAAACACUCGUUUCACAACUAUCGUGACAGCCUUCGACGUGCUGUCAAAAACAAACGCACAACCGUCACCUGAUUAUUGUGGAAGGACGGAGGAAACUACAUCUAAGCAUUGUCGUGUGAUCUUUUUCAACAAUAAGGAUUUCACGAGCGUUGCAGCUAGCGAAUUCGACUAUUGCGGACCAGCUUAUAGUCGAUCCGACAUGCAGCCAUUUCGUUUGGACAGAUUAUGAGGGCGGCUGGUGUUGGUUGAAGACGGUGCUUCCGAAUGUGAUGCCUUGGUAAAGAUUGAUUCGAACGCAGCAUGUGGCUUCAUCAUGAAAAUAUUAAUAGCUCCUCAUAGAAAUCGUCUACAUUGCUGGGUGUAUGUGGGUCUGUUUUCAAUAGCUGUUUCCUCUUCGGUACGGUUUCCCAAUGAAUUCCACCAUCCAAAAUCAAUUUUAACCUACUGUAAAAUUAAACUAUUAAAAGGGCUUUCGUUAUUCAUAAACAUUCUCUACCUCA